rnacentral:sRNA from 1 species
UGUGAGCUCGUCCAACCACCUAAGCAAUA